UACAGAGGGGGGCAAGCGUUAUUCGGAAUUAUUGGGCGUAAAGGGCGCGUAGGCGGCUUUUCAAGUGACGGGUGAAAUCCCUCGGCUUAACCGAGGAACUGCCUGUCAGACUGGAAGGCUUGAGACCAGGAGAGGUGAGUGGAAUUCCCAGUGUAGCGGUGAAAAUGCGUAGAUAUUGGGAGGAACACCAGUGGCGAAGGCGGCUCACUGGACUGGUACUGACGCUGAGGCGCGAAAGCGUGGGGAGCAAACGGGG
rnacentral:rRNA from 1 species